UGUCGAGUAAAGCUCCGGCGCUUUCGAGAUGGAUCUGCGGCCUAUCAGCUAGUUGGUAGGGUAAUGUGCUACCAAGGCGAAGACGGGUAGGGGGCGUGAGAGCGUGGCCCCCACACUGGCACUGAGAUACGGGCCAGACUCCUGCGGGAGGCAGCAGUCGGGGAUAUUGCACAAUCAGCGAAAGCUGGAUGCAGCGACGCCGCGUGGGCAAUGAAGGCCUUCGGGUUGUAAAGCCCUUUUAUGGGGGAAGAGAAAAAGGACGGUACCCCAAGAAUAAGUCCCGGCUAACUACGUGCCAGCAGCCGCGGUAAAAACGUAGGGGAACAGCGUUAUCCGGAUUUUACUGGGCGUACAGAGCGUUGAGGCGGUUCCCGUAAGUUGGGCGUUAAAGCCCCCGGGCUCAACUCGGGGAGGUCGUUCAAUACUGCGGAACUUGAGGGCAGCAGAGGGAGGCGGAAUUCCCGGUGUAGCGGUGGAAUGCGUAGAUAUCCGGGAGGAACACCAGUGGUGAAGGCGGCCUCCUGGGCUGCUCCUGACGCUGAAGGCGAAAGCUAGGGGAGC
rnacentral:rRNA from 1 species